AGAGCUGCGUCCUCUCCCUCAAGUUCGCCGCCUGCGGGAAGUGGUUCGUGAGCACGGGGAAGGACAACCUGCUCAACGCCUGGCGCACCCCCUAUGGUGCCAGCAUCUUCCAGUCCAAGGAAACCUCCUCCGUCCUCAGCUGCGAUGUCUCCACCGAUGACCAGUUCAUUGUGACAGGCUCAGGGGACAAGAAAGCUACAGUCUACGAGGUCAUUUACUGAGCGCUGGACAGGGGACAGCCGCCGAGAGGGGCCACUCCAGGGGAGCAGACAGACAGCUGCAGAGGCUGACGGACGGAUGCUGCCCUCCUGGGAGCUGGCAGCCCAGGGCUGGAGCAGGCAGCAAGGGGCAGAGGGGACCCCGCAGCCAGGCAGUGCUGGGAGGCAGCUGCUGCUUGCAGGGACCUUCCUAGGGACUUUCUUCUUGUUUGGGUCUUUAGUUGUUGGGUUGUUUCUAAGUCUGGACUGGGGGGGGGGGGUACGGGGGCUCUUUUUAUGUAACUUUUUUGUUGUUGUUAAGGCUCUGGGCCAUGCAGGGGAGGAUGUGCUCCAUCCUCAUCUCCAUCAGCCUCCUUGAGUGUAUUUAAUAAUAAAAACAAACAAAACACCA